CCUAGUGAACUGGUCUAUGUUCAGGGAAUUCCCCCGAAUGUUGACCUACUUUCUAGCAUAUGCUUGCUACCAUUUUUUUCCAAAAUAAGACAUCCCCCGAAAAUAAACCCUUUUGCGGUUUUUGGGGGGAAAACCAAUAUAAGACCCGGUCUUAUUUUCGGCGAAAGACGGUAUCAUCACUAAGGCGGCUGGGGUUAACAGGAGUUAUAGUGGAAUAGUUGAAUAUGUCUUAUAAAGUAACAGAAUGAGCACUGAUGCAUGUUGCAGGGACACCUAGAUUUACUUUUUAAAAUAAUUUCUCCCUGAAAUACAAUUCUGACAAGUCAUAGACGGACUAUAACAUAGCAAAACUGAAAUUCUCAUUAAAAGAAAAGGAUGAUCCCUAAUUGUAAUUUUAUUCUCCCUUUCAGUUGUCAUCGGAGCAUUCACUUUUCCAAUCUUGUACAGACAGAACAAGGUGAGUUCAUACAUAGUCUCAUUCUCGCACCCAAACUGUGACCUUAGCAUGGCACACAGACUGCAAGGAAACUACAAUUCCAUUCAUUCUACUCAGAAUUCCAGUCAUUCUACUCAGAAUGACUCCUCAGUCUGCCACCUGCAAGGAUUAGGUUGACUUCUGAAAAAUAGGGAUGUGCUGCCGAAUGCUGCCUAAGGAACAAGAACUCUGGGCAAUCUAAUGUCAGUUCUGCACAAAUGUGUCCCAUUCAUUGUCUGAAAGUGGUAAGAGGAUGCUUUCAGCCAAUUUACAGUGACUGGAGCCUUGGAGCUCAGUGGUGGGCCAGAUAAGAGGGCAAACUAUUACUAAAUGGUUUAACCCAUUACCGGGUAAAUGGGUAAAGGUAUUCCUAGCUGGCAUCAGCAUUAUAAGGUAAAGGGUUGAGUACCGACCUGGGGUUUUACUUGUCAGGGCUGUUUGAGAUUAAUGGGUUUAGGGUUAGAGUGGGCUUAAAUUUAGCUUUUAGGUGUUUUAGGGUUUAAUUUAGUAUUGGAGUACAUCAGAUAGUGUUUCGUUUUUAAGAAGAGUUAAACAUAGACUUAAGUUAAAGGGUUUAUAGUCAGUUUAAGGUUUUGAGUUCUGGCAUUUGAAGGGUUAUUUACAAAGAGCUCACCCUCCAAUGUCUUCUGUACACCAGUCAGAUUGAUGAUAUUAGAGGUACCGUAGCUGUUAUACAGAGUGCAUCGCUCAGUGCUGUCCUGCUCCUCCUGCAAGGCACUUCCUGUGUGAAAAGUUACUAGUGGGCAGAUGGGAAGUGAUCCCUUCCACUUCCUGUCCAGCCUCAAACAUGGACACUGGAGGAGCUGGGAGAGCACUGAGUGUUAUAACUGCUACUGCAGCUCUGCUACUGGACUACAGAGGGCACUCACCAAGGCUUCUGGGACGUAUCUCGUUCUCCAGCAGCCUAUCUAUGCUCAAAAAGGCAUAUUAUAAGUGAGAAAAACAGGCGCCCCCAAGUGGGCAGGUGACAAUUCUGCCUAAUGGGAUAUCCGGCCCUGCCUGUACUGAUGACGCCUGGU